UCUGCUGGAGUUUUGUAAGUGAGCCCAGGAUAGGGGUAAGCCUUCUAUUUAUUCUCCUUUUGUUAGCUUAGUCUGCUUUGUCAAACUCUCUUGUUUAUUUCAUAAUGACAACAUCUUAAUAGUCAUUGAUUAUACACGUGCACUAAGUACUUUUUCUUCUUGUUUUAGACUACUCCAACGUACUUGGCCAAGCUGCUUUUGCAGAUGCCUCAAAACAACCCCACAGAGUUCAUGGAUUCAGCCAUCUUCACGCUGCAUAACUACGCAUCCAGUCAGAGAGAGGAAUCUCUGCUGUUGCGGCUGUUGCAAACAGCAUUGCAGGAAGAGAUCAAAUGCGCUCUUUCAACCGUGGUGCCCGUGGUCAGAACGCACUGAGGCAGAUCUUGGCCCCAGUUGUGAAGGAAAUAAUUGAGGGCGAAUCGCUCAACGUCAGAACGGAUCCAGUGGAUAUUUACAAGUGCUGGGUGAACCAGAUGGGAUCUCAGAAUGGUGAGGCCGGGCACUUCAAGGGAAGUGGUGGAAAAGCAAUGCUAUGAAGUAAAAGACAACUGUCCCAGCGCAGCACGCUGCGUGAGUUACUAUCUUAACACUGCAAUGUGCAGCUUGUGUUUUCACUGAUUUAUUUGCGACCUGAGGUACUACUGCGUAUCGCAGGUGACCUUCUUGACUCUAGAGAGCGUGUCUGCAUGUGGUACAGAAAGAUACAGUUCAGAGUUAGCUGGGCCUGUUCUCACAGCGACUGCUGCAGGGACAGCAGAGGACGUGAGAAGUCCUUUGCUCUUUCAGUGCUAGCAUUCUAAUGAAAGUGAAAGCGUGCAGCUCUUUGCAGCCAGGUGAGC